rnacentral:rRNA from 1 species
CACGUAGGGUGCGAGCGUUGUCCGGAAUUAUUGGGCGUAAAGAGCUCGUAGGCGGUGUGUCGCGUCGGCCGUGAAAACCUGCAGCUUAACUGUGGGCUUGCGGUCGAUACGGGCAUCACUGGAGUUCGGCAGGGGAGACUGGAAUUCCUGGUGUAGCGGUGAAAUGCGCAGAUAUCAGAAGGAACACCGGUGGCGGAGGCGGUUCUCUGGGAAUGUUCUGACGCUGAGGAGCGAAAGUGUGGGGAGCGAACAGG